AUCCUGUCCUAUCACCUUUGCACAUUUUCCACCUUGACGCCUCAUUCUUUCAGGCAUGCCUGCAGACAGUGAAGGUCACAGAUUUCUCCAAUCAUGCUCUACAGCUAACCAACAGGAGGAGGCAUGCAGUAGUGAGACGAUUUGGGCAAUAUCACUUUUUCAAUGUCCUUGAAACAAACACUGCUAGCAAAAGUGCUCCACCUAGCAGCCUGGCUAAGACUGGCAGAAUUCAAUCCCAACUGUUGCGGACAGAUUUGAGUGACAAGCUGCCUUGGGAUUCAAACCCACACCAAUCUGUUCAGAAGGUUUUCUAAAGAAUCUGCAUGGAAAAGACUGGAAAAUGCCAGCUAACCUGGAGAAAAUCACUUUCUCGAGUGCUACCAUUCUGAGACGGAACACUGGAUGGGUCGAAAUCUCCUUCAGCAAAACUAAAACCAUCAUUUUUGGCUCUUGUCAGCCCUUAUGUGUCUCUGGUCAUAACUCCUUCAACUUCCCUGACUGCCCUCUCAGGUUAAAUCCAGUUGUGAGGACUGCAAUAUGUUUUUCAGCCUUAUGCUUAGCAUUUAUGUUACUAUCUGGAUUGUCAACAAGACAUUCUUGCACUUCCAGAAAGUCACAUACAUACAUAUCCCCCGCCACUCCUGAAAUCCCAAUUCACAUUUUCAACAUUUUGAGAAUUGAUUUCAGAUAAUUUGAUUUCCUCAUUGUCCUCAUCACUUCUACCUUGCACAAAUUCUAGAAAAGCCAAAAUUCUGCAACCCAAAUUUUCUCCUGCUCAGGACUCACAUAUCCAACAUCCUUGCCCUUGCUAAGCUCAAUUGGAUCCCUGUGCCUGAGUGAAUAAAGUUUGAGGUCUUUAUACUUACCUUCAGUUCCUUUCAUUGCCUCACUCUAUCCACCUGAGUGACUUUUCCAGCCACACAUCCCUCCCACAUUCCCAUUCCUUUCAAAUGUUUGCACACCAUUUCCACCAUUGCAAGUCAAUCUUUCAGUCCCCAAAGUUUUCUCCAAAACCACCUUCUCUUACUGCCUCCUCAUUGCCUUUAAAAACUCCCUAAAAUGUUGCCAGCAAACAAGUCUCCAUGCUUAAUGUUGCUCCUCUUGCUGUAGUGUGAUCAUGCAGUGUUUUGAGGCAUUUCAUUUUAUUUAAGCAUUUAGAUGCAUUUUAUUUAUUUUUAUAGUUGAUUUCCUCUGGAAAUGAUCACAUUUUAAGUAGCGUAAACCUUAAAUGUAAGUUUAUGAGCUCAAUUUGGUGAGAAGUGUAUCAUUUAAAAAAUAUUUUUCUUGCAUUGUGCCAAUAGAAAGGUUGCCACAUGUAGAUCUUAAGAGUAGGUACAGGUACACUAGCUAGUAGUAAAAAUAUUUCUAAUCCAGUAUCUAUUCUGUACUGAAAUAAUAAAAGUAAUGAACUAAAA